rnacentral:RNase_P_RNA from 1 species
AAAAUAAAUCAUCUUAUCGCUUUUUAAAGAGGAAAGUCCGAACAACAAAGAGCAGUGUGCUUCCUAACAGGAAGGUGGAUUUAACGAUCCAACAGAUAGUGCCACAGAAAAUAACCGCCUUUCGAGGUAAGGGUGAAAAGGUGGGGUAAGAGCCCACCGCUGGAUUGGCGACAAGACAGGCAAAGGUAAACCUCACACGUUGCAAGAUCAAAUAGGCUGACUGUCUUAGGACAAAAGGGUUGCUCGUCCGAUGUCAGUGGGUAGAUUGCUAGAGGUAAACAGUGAUGUUUGUCCAAGAUAAAUGAUAAGAGGGUAGGUUUCCUACUUACAGAAUUCGGCUUAUCGAUUUAUUUUCUCA